rnacentral:piRNA from 1 species
UACCUCACUCAGGAUGAUGCC